rnacentral:rRNA from 1 species
UACGUAGGGUGCAAGCGUUGUUCGGAAUUACUGGGCGUAAAGGGCUCGUAGGCGGCCAACUAAGUCAGACGUGAAAUCCCUAGGCUCAACCUAGGAACUGCGUCUGAUACUGGAUGGCUUGAAUCCGGGAGAGGGAUGCAGAAUUCCAGGUGUAGCGGUGAAAUGCGUAGAUAUCUGGAGGAAUACCGGUGGCGAAGGCGGCAUCCUGGACCGGCAUUGACGCUGAGGAGCGAAAGCUAGGGGAGCAAACGGG